CCCUUAGAUGUUCUGGGCGGCCCGCGCACUACAAUGGCGUGUGCAGCGAGUGCCGAAGUAGAGUUUUCCGAGGUAUUCUUGCAAUGCUCGUUUUGAUGGGGAUAGACCCUUGCAACUGUUGGUUUUGAACGAGGAAUUCCUUGUAAGCUUGGUUUAUCAUCCGACGCUGAAUGCGUCCCUGCCCUUUGUACACACCGCCCGUCGCUCCUACCGAUGAGUCGUCCGGUGAAGUUCGUAGACCUCGUGAUCGCGGAUCACUGGGGGAAGCAAAAUGAACCUCGCGGUUUAGAGGAAGGAGAAGUCGUAACA
rnacentral:rRNA from 1 species